rnacentral:rRNA from 1 species
GCACAAGCAGCGGAGCGUGUGGUUUAAUUCGAUGCAACACGAAAACCUCACCAGGGUUUGACAUGUCGGAAGUAGCGAAUCGAAAGAUGAACAAACUGUUAAGUCAGUAGCCGUAACACAGGUGCUGCAUGGCUGUCGUCAGCUCGUGUCGUGAGAUGUUGGGUUAAGUCCCGCAACGAGCGCAACCCUUGUCAUUAGUUGCUACAUUUGGGUUGGGCACUCUAAUGAGACUGCCGGUGACAAGCCGGAGGAGGUGGGGAUGACGUCAAGUCCUCAUGGCCCUUAUAGGUGGGGCUACACACGUCAUACAAUGGCUGGUACAAAGGGUUGCCAACCCGCGAGGGGGAGCUAAUCCCACAAAGCCAGUCGUAGUCCGGAUCGUAGUCUGCAACUCGACUACGUGAAGUCGGAAUCGCUAGUAAUCGUGGAUCAGAAUGUCACGGUGAAUACGUUCCCGGGUCUU